GGAGAGAUGGCCGAGUGGUCGAAGGCGCACGACUCGAAAUCGUGUAUUCCCCUAAAGGGAAUCGAGGGUUCGAAUCCCUCUCUCUCCGCCA
rnacentral:tRNA from 1 species